GCCGGUGUGGCGGAAUGGUAGACGCAGCGGAUUCAAAAUCCGCCGGGGCAACCCCCCGUAAGAGUUCGAGUCUCUUCACCGGCACCA
rnacentral:tRNA from 1 species